UAAAAUCUGUACACACAAUCAGGCCCAAAAAUUGCCCCAAACAGAACAAAGAAGAGUGAAAAUCUGAAAGAGACAAAACAAUAACUUGGUAAGCAGCAGCACUUUCCUAAAAGACUCAUGGAUGAAGAUGAAGAGGCGUAGAGGCACCAGCGAUGCUAUUGGUCCAAUUUCUCCACAAAUCUCUGCUACCUCGCAUAAACAAGGAAUCUCACAAGUCUUUAAGCUCCUUAAGGUGAACUUCGAUGCUUCACUCUCUUGAAAUAUUUUCUUAUGAGCUACACUUUGUUGUACAAAUCAUUGUUCAUGAAUGUGUUUGCUGCCAAAUUGAUCUUCUUGAGCUAUGAACCUGGGUAAUGUAGACGAAACCUCGGCUAAAAUUAGUUUUCCUUUUAUAAAUUUGAAUUUGGUGGAUUGAAAUAAAAAUUUGAUUUAAUACCACCACCAAAAUCCAAAUCCACAAAAAGAUUACUAAGUUAAUUUUUGUGAGGUUAUGCUGAUACAUCUCCUAUUUGAGCAAACAGUAGCUUCAGUUCAUCUUUCUCCUCUAAUGGACAUUAGUAGUCUUCAACGAUAUCUUUCUAAUUAAACCUGAAUUUGCAGUAUAUGAAUUUAACACAGUUUUAGAUUAAAUAUGCUAUUUAGCCCCCACGAGUCCUGGUUUUAUACCAUAUGUAACACCUCAAAGCUCUCACCAGGUGCAUGAUAUAUUAACCAACUGAAACUAAUUCAGACAUCUUGAGGUAUGUUAGUAGCGUAUUUAAUCUAAA
rnacentral:lncRNA from 1 species